GGUACUGGGUCAGUUUCUCUGUUUUAGGUUUGGAUUCCCUGCAUACAGACACUUUAGAAGUGAUGGCACCUCUCCCAACAUCCCCAUGCCCCACUUCUGUCUUACCUGGAGUACCUAAGCUUGUUUUUCCUACAGUCAAUGGACAGGCAAAGUUUGAAACCAAAGUUACUAUGUUGGAUAAUGGGCUUUGUGUGGCAUCUUAAAAUAAGUUUGGAAGCUUUUAUAUGGCAGGAAUUCUUAUUAAUUCAGGAUCAAGAUACAAAGCAAAAUAUCAUGGUGAAAUUGCGCACUCUUUGGAAAGUUGGCAUUUUCAGUCAGUUGUCUAAUUUG
rnacentral:lncRNA from 1 species